rnacentral:rRNA from 1 species
GACGAACGCUGGCGGCAUGCCUAAUACAUGCAAGUCGAGCGGAGUUGAUGGAAAGCUUGCUUUCCUGAUACUUAGCGGCGGACGGGUGAGUAACACGUAGGCAACCUGCCCUCAAGCUUGGGACAACUACCGGAAACGGUAGCUAAUACCGAAUACUUGUUUUCUUCGCCUGAAGAGAACUGGAAAGACGGAGCAAUCUGUCACUUGGGGAUGGGCCUGCGGCGCAUUAGCUAGUUGGUGAGGUAACGGCUCACCAAGGCGACGAUGCGUAGCCGACCUGAGAGGGUGAUCGGCCACACUGGGACUGAGACACGGCCCAGACUCCUACGGGAGGCAGCAGUAGGGAAUCUUCCGCAAUGGGCGAAAGCCUGACGGAGCAAUGCCGCGUGAGUGAUGAAGGUUUUCGGAUCGUAAAGCUCUGUUGCCAGGGAAGAGCGCUUGAGAGAGUAACUGCUCUCAAGGUGACGGUACCUGAGAAGAAAGCCCUGGCUAACUACGUGCCAGCAGCCGCCGUAA